rnacentral:misc_RNA from 1 species
CUAAAAAUCAACCCCAGCUUGUGAAAUUGUUAAUAAGCUGCAUAGUUGAUAUAAAUGAGAAGAAUGAUGAAGGUUUGACAGCUUUGGACUAUGUACGAGAUGAAAGUCAAGCUGAGAUUAAGGAUUUGCUAUGCAGUGCUGGAGCUGUCACAGCUUCUUCAGUCCUUACCAUUGAUAAUUAUGCUCCUUUCCUUAGAACGGAUCAGAAGUUGAAGAUGGCAGCUGAAGUGGGAGAUAUUCAAGGCUUGUAUUCAAUUAUAAAUGAGGAUCAAUAUAUUCUAGAGCGCAUUGAUCAGUUGCCAUUUACAGAUACUCCUUUGCACAUAGCUGCAUCCAAAGGGCGUACGCAGUUUGCUUUGGAGAUCAUAAGGUUGAAACCAUCAUUUGCAGAGAAGCUAAACCAAGAUGGGUUUAGCCCUAUGCACCUGGCCCUUCAAAACCAGAGUACUUUCCAAACUGCUUUGCGGCUUGCAGAUGUGAAUGAACAACUUAUUUGUCUCAAAGGAAGAAGGGGUCUAACUCCUUUACAUUUUGCAGCAGAAAAAGAGGAACUUGAACUUCUGGCAGGAUUAUUGAUAGCUUGUCCCAAAGCCAUUUAUGUUGUCACUGAACAUAAAGAAACUGCCUUGCAUAUUGCAGCGAAAAAUGAUAAGGUGGAAGCUCUGAAGGUCCUAUUUGGAUGGCUUGAACAGUAUGGAAAGAAUAAGGUGCUUAAUUGGAGCGAUGAUGAAGGCAACACCGUAUUGCAUAUUGCCAGUCGUAGGAAUCAAAUAGAGGUGGUCAGGCUCUUAAUUGGUGACGUGAUAUGUUUUCCCAGAGUUUUCCUUCCUAUUCGUAAGUUUUUAUCUGUUUCCAUCCCUGAAGCAAAAGUUGAUUUGAAUAUUAAAAACUCAGAAGGAUUAACAGCUGUGGAUAUUUUACAACAAGAGGCCCAACUGGACAUUAGGAUAAUUCAAGCUACGCGAGCACAUGCUAAAUUUUACGGACUUCCAUAUGGACCUGGUGCAACUGGUGCUGCAAAUUAUUUUAGGAGAAAGUUUUCGGGUACUGAAAAAUGGUUCAUAGGUGCUUACCGUGAAAAUUUGCUAAUGCCAAAUGGAAAUAGAAAUGCCGUACUUGUGGUUGCUGUAUUGAUUGCAACUGCCACAUACCAAGCUGUUCUCAGCCCCCCGGGUGGACUUUGGCAACCAGAUCCUGCUUCAUUUUCCUCCUACAGCUCUCCCUUUCAUACCACUACAAAUAACACUAACAUCAACCUAUUUGAACCUAAGCCUGGCAGUCCUGCUUUGGAUGAUAUCUGGUGGGCACUUUUUGCGAUGCUAAACAGUUUGGCCUUUUUUACUUCGUUAGAGAAAAUAAAUAUAAUCUUCCCUGGCGGCCUUUAUUCGAUUCUACCGCUCACAUUGCCAUUUGUCCUUUGCUAUUCUUUGUCAAUGAUUUUCAUCUUGCCUGUGACCAAACUGGCUCUGAUUGGAACAAGGUUAUUAGCUUUGUUUAUUGCCAUGAUAUAUGCACACACGUAUCGUUCUACAAUUGAGGGUCGUUGUAGAACACUAGUUAGAUUCAUCCCAUUCGUGCGGCUCCAGUUAAAGAACCAGGACCAGACCAUGCAGAAUGAAACAUGACUCAAUUCUUAACUCCAAUAAGUCUGUAACUCGUUGGAUCCCAAGUUCAUUAGGAUGUAACUAAUUGAAAGAAAAGAGUCUGAGAGAGAGAGGAGAAACAGAGGAUUUGAGAGGAGAGAGAGAGAGAUUUUCUUUUUUUGGCGGAAAGAGGAAGAAGAAUCUCGAUCGUAGCAAUUACACAUGUUGUCCACAAAUAUGGAAAUUGAAUUUAAAAAAGAUUUGCUAAUAGAAAGACAACUGCUAACGUGCUUUUUCUAGUUACGUUUAAUUAGAGUGAAAUUUGAAAUUUAGAUAAAUAGAAAUGCUUAUGAUAAUGUUUAUAUUUUAGAGUAUUGCUGUACCCGUAAGUGAUAUAUUACUUGCAGUUAAAAUAGUUUUGGAUAUUUUC